rnacentral:lncRNA from 1 species
UGAGUUUGGGGUAUUUGCUGCUUCUGAUGGUGAAGCUACUGCUCCUGAUAAUAAGGAUGAUGGUCAUCAUGAUGUUGGCCUUUUUUAUUCACUUAAUGCAGUGUUUCUCCACAUCAGAAUGCUUAAGCAUCCCUUGGGAAGUUUGUUUAAAGUUCAUAAUUCUGUGCCCUACCACUUGAUGUUCAGCUUCUGGAGAAGGAUACUAAGGCAAAUAUUAGAUCAGGAAGCACCAAGGGCACCAUUUAUUGACUUGCAGAAUAAGAAUGUGAGUUCUUUGGCUGGCCACUCUGGCUGCCCCCGAUUCACAUCCUUUAGACAUUAUUUGCCUAGGAUCCUUCCAAGCUCACCCCGAGGAAGCCAAUGGAGCAGUUUCUCUGCUUAAAAGCUUCACAGUUCACAGAUGUGGUGAGAUGAGAGUAAUUUAGGUAGGAGUGGGUGUGAGAAAGUAAUCUGGAACAAGGUUCAGCAGUCACUAACCUUAGAUGUGGAGCUUUUCUUGCAAAAGAUCUCUCUUAACCCCCAGUCAGUUUUUUAUAAGUUUUGUUUGAAGAAUUUUAUGGCUACUAAUUAUUGAGAAAUCUUCUCAGGGUUCUGGCCUUAACACUGCUUCUAUCUUAUCAUAUAACCUGGGGACCUUCAUCCUCUCUAGGAAUUUUUGAGGCUCUUGCCUCAACUGGGUUAGGGUGGAGAGGCUUGAGCAGUCAAAGGCCUGAUCAGGAGAACGUUCUUAACGAGGCAUUCCAAGGGACUAUGCUUUAUACAGGGAGGUAUCACCUUUUCGCCUAAGAAGGCAUAAGAAUGGAGCUGCUUUUGAAUGGGGUUGAGGCUUAGGCUCCCUUUCUUUCUCUCUCUCUUUAAAUAACUAUGCUCUACAAUACCCUGACCUUCAAGCUUUCUGCACCCAUGCAUCUGCGUUAUUUCUGUUGAGCAACUUGGACUGACUAUGAUUUGAAGUCUGGCAUACAUGAACUGUCUUGUUCAGAAGGUCCAGUUUGGGAUUGUCUCUCCCAUCUCACCUUGCUUAAGGCUAAAACAAUACUGAUUUUUUUCCCACCACACUGCCUAAAAUUUGAUCUUUAGUGGGCGUAUAUUCUGAGCCCUAAGAAAUGACAGGUGAUUAUUGACCAUAUAAUUGCUUUAAAACAGAGUCUAUCUUCCAAGUCAAAGAUGGUGGAAUCCUUAUUGCUUCCCAACCCACUCCACUUCAGCAAGUUUCACAGCUCAGGGAUGUCAUGGAACCAUUUCACUUAUAGGACCCAACUUUUUGUAUUAGGACUCCUGUUUUGAAGUUACUGACAUCCAACAUGAAAACCUUUAAAAAGGGAUGGGAAAUGUUGACUUAACAGAAACCAUGAAAGGAGUGAACAACCAAACAAGGUCCAGGGUGAGAACACAAUUGGGGGCAGACACUUGAAUUAAUUCAGCUUCAAUAGGAUAUUCCUUGUGUCUUAUGCAAGGCAGUGUUUAAAAGCAUGGAUACUAGUACUAACAGACCUGCAUUCAAAUCUUAGUUCUAUCCUUUGCAUGCCUUACACAAGCAAGAAAUCCAACCUCUCUGUGCUUCAGUUUCACCAUAAGAUGAGGAUGAUUAUAGUUGUUCCUAGCUCGUAGGUUUGUUUGAAGAACUAAGAGAGUCAAUAUAUGGUAAAAGUUUAGAACUGUGCCUAGCACAUAGCAUGGCCCAUCUAUAAGUGUUACCCAUUAUUAUUAUCAUGGUGUCACUCAGCACAUUGGUUUCAUUUUCUCACCACUGUCUUGCUUUUUCUAUACAGUAUGCUCACUCUGGGACCAAUGAAAUCUAGCUAAGAUUGAGGGUUGGGGGAGAAUUUGACAGCUACUAUCACAGCCUUACUGAUGCCCCUGAACAGGUGAGGGUGAACAGAGAACAUCACAGGGCAGACUGGCUCCACUGUAAAUUCUUGAUCACGAAGACAAAUGAGGUCUCAGCAUUGCCUGGCAAUCCAGCAGUUUCCUAGACAACUUGUUGUCCAGUUUCCUGAAAUAACUGGCAGUCUUUCAAUAUGUAUGUCAAACACCUGACCAUUACCUUCCCCAUUUUCCUCCAUCUCUCUUUCCCUCAGGAGAAAAGCUUACAGUACGCAGAAAAUUCACCCAGUUUUUCUGUGCAAAAACCCUUUGCUCUUCAUACCCAAUCCAUUUAAAGCUCUGCCAGCUCUAACUCCAAAAUGUUUCCCAAAUUUGUUAGUCUUUAAUGUCUAAAUCCCUCCUGUAGAACACAAUUUCUAGGAGAAUGGAGACUUUGAAUCUCUUAUUUUUUUUUUUUUUCUAUUCCAGGUAUCUGGAAUUGUGCCUGAUACCUAGUAGGAACUCAGUUAAAUAUUGACUAAAUGAAUUAAAAUAAAAAUUAUCUGAGGGGAACCCUUAGAUGUCUAUUACUAGUCAUGUACAUGUACUUACAGUCAUUCUGUCUUCCUUCCCCAUCACCUAUCUCUGCUUAGGAAACUUAUUGUUAUUGAUUCUUUUUCUCCACAUGAAUUGUCAGCUUUUUAACAUACUCUCCCAUUGAAAAGAAAACCAGGAGUUCCUGUGUCGUGGCCCAGUGGAAAUGAAUAUGACUAGCAUCCAUGCGGACACAUGUUCAAUCCCUGACCCUGUUCAGUGGGUAAGGAUCAGGUGUUACCCUGAGCUGUGGUGUAGGUUGCAGAUGUGGCUCAGAUCCUGUGUGGCUGUGACUGUGGUGUAGGUCAGUAGCUACAGCUCAAUUCUACCCCUAGCCUGGGAACCUCCAUAUGACGCAGGUGUGGCCCUAAAAAGAUAAAACCAACCAACCAACCAGAAACAAACCUCCUAUCAUCCUAAAUCUCGUUCCACUUACCACUGAGAGUCAGAUAGAUAUGUAUAUGGCCCUAAGACUCUAAGCCAGGCACUACUAAUUUGGGCCUCUAUUGAUUAGCCUUGAGAAAUUCUAAUUGUAGUGUAGCAUUUGACUCAAUGGUGGGUUGACUUUUGAAUAAUUUGAAUUUUAACUUUAUAAUUUGAGCAAAAGGUGUCAAUGUAUAAUUUGACUUUGUAAUUUGGAGUUUGUAGCCUCGGGAAGUUUCGACAAUGACUCAGGAGGUAUCUGGCAGUGACUGUAAAGCCAGCAAUAAACCAUGAUCAUAUCAUUUAAGAAAAAACAUAAUUUAAGAAAUGACAGUUUACGCCCAGUUUUUCCUUUUACCCACCUUCGUCUCACUCCUUCACACAUGCCAUUCUGUUUUAUACCCCUAAUCCACACACCCCAAACAGCCAUUAUUGAAUUUUUCAAGCACUCUCCAUUUCACUAAAACCAAAGGCAAUUUUUCAGCUGUCAACUGACAGUUUAAUAGGACUGAUCACUCCUUGAAACUCUCUUUUCCUUUGACUUCUUGCCUAAACAUUCUCUGGAUUUUUUCCAUUGUGUUUGACUGUAACUUUUCUCUCUCUCUCUCUCUUUUUUUUUAAAGUUUCAUUCUCCUCUUCUUGGCCAUUAAGAAUUCCCACCCACAUUCCUACUUCGGCAAAGACUUGCUGAGCCUGAGAAUUCAGCCUUCUCUGGAGCUCCAGUACUUCUGUCAUUAAGUCUUGGACCUAAAUCUCAGCUAAGGUCUGCCUUCCAACUUAAGGAGAUUACAAACAAAAUGUUUACCUUGGAAUUGUUCUUUUAUAUUUCCCCUUCCUAAGCCAUCAUCUUCAGUGUGAUAAAUAACCUUUAGACAAGUAUUAAUCAUAUCUCUUUAUUAAAGUAAUAUUUUUUCUUGUGACAUAUAGUUAUUUUAGAAAAUGUAGAAAAUAUAAGAAGCAUAAAGGAAAAAGUAAAAAUUCUUAUAAUCACAUCAUCUAAUAAUCACUAUAAAUAUUUUAGAACUUUUUCUACACAUAUAAAUUUUAUUUUUUCAAAGUUGACUAUAUAUAUAAUUUUGUAUUUUGCAUUUUAAAAAUCUAAAAUUACAUUGUGACUAUUUCCUAUGUUAUUAAAUAUUCUCCUGAAACACAGCUUUUAGUGGCUUUAUUGUAUUUCAUCCAUAAUUACAUUUCUUCCACAAUUUAAACAUAUGAUUUUGUUGUACAUUUAGGGUAUUUCUAAUUUUUGAUAUUUAACAAAUGAACAUUCAUAUACAAAAUAUUGUGUCUUGAGUGAUUUGCAUGGAAUAGAUUCCUAGAAAUGGGAUUGCUGAAACAAAAGAUAUGAGCUUUUAAAAAAAACAUAUAUACAGUAAAAUACUUAAGUCUUAUGUAUAUAGCUUGAAUGAAUUUUUACCUAUUUAUAUAUCUAUGUAACCCUCUUUCAAAUAAAAAUAUAGAAUACUUCCAAUAUCUCAGAGGACUCCCUCAUCUUUUCAGCCAGUCAAUCACUUCGAAGGUAAGCACUGUUCUAACAUUAACAUGAUGUUCUAACGUUAACAUCAUGGCAUAAUUUUGCCUGUUUUUGAACUUUAUUAAAGCACAAGCACAGAUUAUUUACAUUUGUGUGUAACUACAUAAUAACAUAUCUAUGAGAUCUGCCCAUGUUGCUGCAAAAAGUAAUUGUUCAUUAUUUCUCAUUUCACUGUAGUAUUCAGUUCUAGAACUAUAUUACAACUUAUUUGUCCCUUCUACUAUUUUGGGAUAUUUAUGUUGUUUCUAGCUUUUGUUAUUGUAAUUGAAGUUGCUGUGAAGCUACUUGUAUGUAUCUUUUGGUGGCUGUUGUACUCUUUAUUUUGGGUAAGUUCCUAGAAGUGAAAUUUCUGAGUCAUAAGGUAUAUAUAGAUAUAGAUAUAGAUAUAUAGGUGUAAUAUAUAUAUCUAUUAAAGUGAAUGAUAAGAUUAUUCAGAUAUUCAUAUGAAAAUGCAAAUCUCCUAGAAUGGUCAAUUCCAAAUUUCAUAGAUGUUAUUGUAUUUAAGUGUGCAUAGUAAACUAUAGACUGAGAAUUUAACAAUGUUUAAAAAUUUAGGAGUUCCCAUCAUGGCGCAGUGGUUAACGAAUCCGACUAGGAACCAUGAUGAUGUGGGUUCGAUCCCUGGCCUUGCUCAGUAGGUUAAGGAUCUGGCGUUGCCCUGGGCUGUGGUGUAGGUCACAGAUGCAGCUCGGAUCUGGCAUUGAUAUGGUGAUUAGACCCCUAGCCUGGGAACCUCCAUAUGCUGCGAGUGCAGCCCUA